rnacentral:lncRNA from 1 species
GCCAUUCUCUGGAAAGACAAGUUUCAGGAGUAAUUUAACAGCAUCACAACAUUCAGAAGAACAGAGAUACAUGAGGCAAACCAGGUUUUUGUUUUGUUUUUCUCCUUCAUGAAGCAGAAAUGUCAUAAAUUUAAUGUCCCUAUUUGUCAGUAUAAAGGACACCCGAGACUUUAUAUUCACUGUGGUUUUGAAGCAGUGAAAUAGUUGGAAAUAGUCACUCAGUACCCUUUUUAAAACCAUUCCAGCCCCUUCCAUAAGAAGGAGAGGAAAGAAAAUCUUAACCUAGAAAAAAAGAAAACACCAACUAUCUUGCUGUUUCUUUUGGCAUUUAAGAUAAACUCUCACAGCAUGUUUUAAUAUGCAAACUGGCCAAAAAAUGCACAUGAUUGAGCUUUAAUAUGUUAUGACCAUAAACAGUGCCUUUAAAAAAUCCACUUCCUUCCCACUAUGUUAAACUCACUAGCAGUUGGAUGGAAUUACAUGUGGUCUCCAUAGCCAGCGCCAUGGCAGCCGUACAUUUGAUUCUACUAUCUGGAAAUUCUGCACGGUCAUAAAUGACAAUAUCACAUUCUCCAUUCCUCAGGGUAAAAUGACAAUGUCCACCUUGUAAAUAGCCCCAGUCAGUCUCAAUAGGACAGUAGUAGCCUUGAGAUAAGGAAAGCAUAAGAUAUUUAAGAUUAUUUAUGUAGAUUUUCAUAACUACUCCAGAAAAAAAGGCAGUAUCAGAUCUUGCUCAAUAAUCUACUUCCAACUUUACCAUCUAACAUUGUCAGUCAAUUAUUACUGCAUGCUUUCUGGGUGCACAGUAGCCCUAAGUACCACUGGGAGCAAAGAGAAGAAUAAGUCAAUAUUCUAAGUCAUUUCUUGACAGUAGUUAAUAGAUGACUAGACUACUGUAGCAACCCAUUGUGAGAGGUUAGUUUGUAGCAUAGCAGGAUUGGGGAUGGGAGUCGUUCCCGCUGCACAAUAUGUGACUUUAAUCAGCUUGCUCUCCUCAAACCUAGUUGAGGUACACUGUGCUGGUAAGAAAGGAUUAUUAGAAUCUCCUCGGAACACCCGAGCCCACCUGUUCAUCCAGGUAGACAUUGUACAUCCCUGUAAAGUCAAAUGAGCAGCGUUGAGCUUUUGGAAGAGCCAAUGACAAACUUGCUGAUGUCCUGCGUGACACGUAUAUGUAAUGUACAUAUAUUACCACUAACUCAAUUCAGGCCUUGUAUCUGGGUAAAAUGAGGGAGUCGGUCAAAACUAACCAUGGUGUUGCUGGGGGCUGGAGACUUUGUCUUUAGGUGACAGCAUCAUGUUCUGGAUACCCAUGGCAUCACCCUGUGAUGUCCAUGGGAGCUCUUAACAAGUAGGCUCAGCACUAUCAUGAGAAAUAAGAACCUGGGCAAACUGCUCACGUGCU